rnacentral:lncRNA from 1 species
CGGCAAUUAAUUAGCGAAAUCGAAACUCUUGACAUUUUUUCAAAAUUCAAUGUAAAAUAUGAUCUCUACUUUUUAAUUCUAUCUGUAAAUAAACACAUAUAUGUUUUACUUUUCUUUUAGAGAAAAGUGAAAAAUAUCUAAAAUCACUUGCUGGCAAAAAUUUGUCCACCACAAUAUAAAUUAAAUUAGUUACCAAUAUGCACUAACAAGAUCAGAAAUGAACAUAAUCAACCAAUAAUCCAUCAUAAUUACAUGUAAUCUAGAAGGAAAAUAAGCUGCCUAAUUAGGCCACGCCCAUGUUUCCACCUCUCAAAUCUAAGACCACAUCCAGAAGCAAAACUAAAGUUUUUCGAGUACAAAACAUGUCAUUAUUUCCACACGCUAUCAUAGCUUAAACAAGCACUUGCAUAAAGUUAAAGCUACUAACCCUAGAUUAAUUCCUAAUCAAAAGCCUAAUCCUACUGCGCCUCUAAUCUUCUGACAUGUGACUGCAAUUUACAAUAGAAUUUGUUAAAGAUAAGAAAGGCUAAAUGGGAACAAUUCUUGUCAGGUACGGCAAAGCAAUUACUAGAAAAAGUUAAAACGAGAUUUAAAAAUUGAAAAAUAUUUGUUUUUAUAUUAAAUUAUUCUCCCCCACUAUCCAAUCCUACUCAGAAAAAGAUUCUGGCGUGCACUAAGUGAUUUAAAUAAUCAAGCUUAUUGGAUCGAGGUCUCAAAUCUCCACCAUUUAUAUAAAGACGUGUGGUCAUGUGAAGCAUUAUUGGAUGGUGAGAAAGUUGUUAAUCACAAUAUUUGACAAAUUAAUUACACUUUUAAAUACCCUGCUGCACAAAAGCAACAAAAGAAAAUAGGUUUGAUUUUAGAUAAUUAAAAAAGAACUACAACUUGAUUUAUCUUGAGAAUAAAAAAUUUACUAAUUUUAACCUAUUGUCUUCUUUAAGUUUGUUAAUUAAUUUUACAAGUAUAUGACUAGAAUAUGCUUUGAACUCGUUUGAUUUGAUGUAAUCCAACUCCGUAAUCUUAAAAAUUUAUGGUUGGAUAUUGAUCGUUUUCGUCCAAAACCAGUUAUGUUAUUGGCAAGAUUUAAUUUGCACUUAUUUUCAAAUUCAGAUUCGGUUUCGGUUUCGGUUUCGAUUUCCGCUGUAUUUCAAGUGGUGGAUCAAAGUUGUGAACUUGUGUAAUUUGGCAUGAUUAGAAACAAUAAAACUACCAACAAGGGUUUGUACAAGGAGUUUUGGUUGAAUGAUUGUAUGGAUGUGUGCAAUUGCGUUAGCAGGUGGUUGUGAAAGUAGUUUGGAGGAGGGAUGGAGGGAGAUAGGCAUGUGAGUUGUAUGGUUAUAAAUAUGGAGAUGCUAUGCAAUUUGUUUGGGUUUUAUCUGGCAUUGGGCCCAUUCCAGCAUCAUCACCUUUGU